rnacentral:tRNA from 1 species
GCCGCUGUAGCUCAGCCUGGUCCAGAGCGCUAGACUCAUAAUCUAGAGGUCCGGGGUUCAGAUCCCCGCAGCGGCA